rnacentral:pre_miRNA from 1 species
AUACUACUCCCUCCGUCCCAAAAUAAGUGACUCAAAAAUGACUCAACUUUGUACUAAUGUUAGUACAAAGUUGAGUAAGUUUUGAGUCACUUAUUUUGAGACGGAGGGAGUAGUAU